rnacentral:rRNA from 1 species
GAUAAAUUUCACUUUAUUUAAAAUUUAUAUACCGCCAUCUUAAGAAUUAAUUAAAAAAUAUUUCUCCAAAAAAUAAUUAAAAAGUUAGGUCAAGGUGUAAUUAACAUUAAAGAAUUAGAUGAAUUACAUUAAACAUCAUUUAAAGAUUUUAAAUAAAUUUAUUUAUAUAAAUAAGGAUUUAAAAGUAAUAUUUCAAUAAUAUUACAAUAUGAAUAGAAUAAUAAAUGUGCACACAUCGCCC